AACCAAAACCAAAACAAAACGAGAGGGACC
rnacentral:piRNA from 1 species